AUAUUGCACAAUGGGCGAAAGCCUGAUGCAGCGACGCCGCGUGAGGGAUGACGGCCUUCGGGUUGUAAACCUCUUUCAGCUCCGAAGAAGCGAGAGUGACGGUAGGAGCAGAAGAAGCACCGGCUAACUACGUGCCAGCAGCCGCGGUAAUACGUAGGGUGCGAGCGUUGUCCGGAAUUAUUGGGCGUAAAGAGCUCGUAGGUGGUUCGUCGCGUCUGCUGUGAAAGUCCGAGGCUCAACCUCGGAUCUGCAGUGGGUACGGGCGGACUAGAGUGCGGUAGAGGAGAUCGGAAUUCCUGGUGUAGCGGUGGAAUGCGCAGAUAUCAGGAGGAACACCGGUGGCGAAGGCGGAUCUCUGGGCCGUAACUGACGCUGAGGAGCGAAAGCAUGGGGAGCGAACAGGCUUAGAUACCCUGGUAGUCCACGCCGUAAACGAUGGUCACUAGGUGUGGGAGGUGUCGACUCCUCCUGUGCCGUAGCUAACGCANAAGUGCCCCGCC
rnacentral:rRNA from 1 species